CUUGAGAAGGGGAGAAAAGUUUACCAUCCAUCGAUACAGCUCUCAGUCGCCACCAUCAUGUCGACAAGUCUUCACAAGCGACUGGAAGCCCCCACCGAGCUCAUUUGUCUUCGUCGUUGGAAUUUUACUGGAAGCCGCCGAAUUUUUGUGUCAAUUUUUAGAAGUUAUUGCCCAACUCUCCAUUUUUGUGCCUAAGCUUCGG